GUCCUUGUAGCACAAUGAACAGUGUGUUGUACUUCUAAUCCAAAGGUCGUGGGUUCGAAUCCCUCCUGGGAUG
rnacentral:tRNA from 1 species